CCCACUCACAUUCUGCUGAAUAGGGGAAGCAGCCAGGAGGGGUGCUGGAGGCCAAGAUUUGCAAAACUGUCUGAUGUUAAGGCGCUGUGUGGAACGCAGCCGAGGACAGCUGGGGGGGACACACCAGCAUCCUAAGGGGGUGCCUGGGGUCCAGCCUGGACGUAGCAUCCACCAGCACCAUGGGCUCGGUGCAGCGCUCUGAGAAGGGCAGAGCAGACCACAGCAAGCACAGCAGUAUAACCAUCAAAUAUGGCAAACAUCAGGAACAGACUGAAGCAUGGAGAAUGGCAGAGAUCUAAGAGAUGUAAUGAGACACCAGCACCCUCUCCUCUUUGCAGCCCCCAGCCCAAGCCCUCCGCCUUGCCAGCCCUUCCCGGCUGUCCCGCUCCUGGGGGAGGGAGGAAAACCGACCUGGACAGUCCUCCUGGGAGGCAAAUAUUGAAUGAGGUGGUGAACAUUGCUUUGGACAAACUCGCUCAGGAAAAUUCCUUCAGGGUUUUAGCUUGCUGGUCUGUAAAGGGAAGUUGUGAAGGUCAAACAUGUUUCAUGUUGUUCUUCUGUGUGCUCGGACUGACUCGAUCCGGAUGCACUUGGGAGGGGACACAGCACUGGCUACCCUAUCUGCAUGAGAAUAAAAGCUCUCCUGUGAAAAUGUGCAUGACUGCUUUUUGGAAGAGAUGUAAAAUGGAGGUCUUAGCCAUUUGUUGUCAUUGAACAUCCCAUGGCUUUUUUUAGAAGAUCGGAGCCAUUAGCUCUGGUGUCCUGGCUCCCUCCAGCCCCACUAACUGCUGCUCACCUGAUGCUGCUUGCCUUCAUUUGGGGCCACUUUCUGCCCUGCCUGUCCCAGGGCUGUGUAGUCCCAUCAGUG